CUAAGUUUGAUGGCGACCGGCGCACGGGUGAGUAACACGUAUCCAACCUGCCGAUGACUCGGGGGAUAGCCUUUCGAAAGAAAGAUUAGUACCCGAUGGCAUAGUUCUUCCGCAUGGUGGAACUAUUAAAGAAUUUCGGUCAUCGAUGGGGAUGCGUUCCAUUAGGUUGUUGGCGGGGUAACGGCCCACCAAGCCUUUGAUGGAUAGGGGUUCUGAGAGGAAGGUCCCCCACAUUGGAACUGAGACACGGUCCAAACUCCUACGGGAGGCAGCAGG
rnacentral:rRNA from 1 species